rnacentral:rRNA from 1 species
GGAAAGGCGCGCGAUACAGGGUGACAGCCCCGUACACAAAAAUGCACAUGCUGUGAGCUCGAUGAGUAGGGCGGGACACGUGGUAUCCUGUCUGAAUAUGGGGGGACCAUCCUCCAAGGCUAAAUACUCCUGACUGACCGAUAGUGAACCAGUACCGUGAGGGAAAGGCGAAAAGAACCCCGGCGAGGGGAGUGAAAAAGAACCUGAAACCGUGUACGUACAAGCAGUGGGAGCACGCUUAGGCGUGUGACUGCGUACCUUUUGUAUAAUGGGUCAGCGACUUAUAUUCUGUAGCAAGGUUAACCGAAUAGGGGAGCCGAAGGGAAACCGAGUCUUAACUGGGCGUUAAGUUGCAGGGUAUAGACCCGAAACCCGGUGAUCUAGCCAUGGGCAGGUUGAAGGUUGGGUAACACUAACUGGAGGACCGAACCGACUAAUGUUGAAAAAUUAGCGGAUGACUUGUGGCUGGGGGUGAAAGGCCAAUCAAACCGGGAGAUAGCUGGUUCUCCCCGAAAGCUAUUUAGGUAGCGCCUCGUGAAUUCAUCUCCGGGGGUAGAGCACUGUUUCGGCAAGGGGGUCAUCCCGACUUACCAACCCGAUGCAAACUGCGAAUACCGGAGAAUGUUAUCACGGGAGACACACGGCGGGUGCUAACGUCCGUCGUGAAGAGGGAAACAACCCAGACCGCCAGCUAAGGUCCCAAAGUCAUGGUUAAGUGGGAAACGAUGUGGGAAGGCCCAGACAGCCAGGAUGUUGGCUUAGAAGCAGCCAUCAUUUAAAGAAAGCGUAAUAGCUCACUGGUCGAGUCGGCCUGCGCGGAAGAUGUAACGGGGCUAAACCAUGCACCGAAGCUGCGGCAGCGACGCUGAUGCGU